UGCAAGUCGAACGAACUCUGGUAUUGAUUGGUGCUUGCAUCAUGAUUUACAUUUGAGUGAGUGGCGAACUGGUGAGUAACACGUGGGAAACCUGCCCAGAAGCGGGGGAUAACACCUGGAAACAGAUGCUAAUACCGCAUAACAACUUGGACCGCAUGGUCCGAGCUUGAAAGAUGGCUUCGGCUAUCACUUUUGGAUGGUCCCGCGGCGUAUUAGCUAGAUGGUGGGGUAACGGCUCACCAUGGCAAUGAUACGUAGCCGACCUGAGAGGGUAAUCGGCCACAUUGGGACUGAGACACGGCCCAAACUCCUACGGGAGGCAGCAGUAGGGAAUCUUCCACAAUGGACGAAAGUCUGAUGGAGCAACGCCGCGUGAGUGAAGAAGGGUUUCGGCUCGUAAAACUCUGUUGUUAAAGAAGAACAUAUCUGAGAGUAACUGUUCAGGUAUUGACGGUAUUUAACCAGAAAGCCACGGCUAACUACGUGCCAGCAGCCGCGGUAAUACGUAGGUGGCAAGCGUUGUCCGGAUUUAUUGGGCGUAAAGCGAGCGCAGGCGGUUUUUUAAGUCUGAUGUGAAAGCCUUCGGCUCAACCGAAGAAGUGCAUCGGAAACUGGGAAACUUGAGUGCAGAAGAGGACAGUGGAACUCCAUGUGUAGCGGUGAAAUGCGUAGAUAUAUGGAAGAACACCAGUGGCGAAGGCGGCUGUCUGGUCUGUAACUGACGCUGAGGCUCGAAAGUAUGGGUAGCAAACAGGAUUAGAUACCCUGGUAGUCCAUACCGUAAACGAUGAAUGCUAAGUGUUGGAGGGUUUCCGCCCUUCAGUGCUGCAGCUAACGCAUUAAGCAUUCCGCCUGGGGAGUACGGCCGCAAGGCUGAAACUCAAAGGAAUUGACGGGGGCCCGCACAAGCGGUGGAGCAUGUGGUUUAAUUCGAAGCUACGCGAAGAACCUUACCAGGUCUUGACAUACUAUGCAAAUCUAAGAGAUUAGACGUUCCCUUCGGGGACAUGGAUACAGGUGGUGCAUGGUUGUCGUCAGCUCGUGUCGUGAGAUGUUGGGUUAAGUCCCGCAACGAGCGCAACCCUUAUUAUCAGUUGCCAGCAUUAAGUUGGGCACUCUGG
rnacentral:rRNA from 1 species